rnacentral:rRNA from 1 species
UACGUAGGGUGCGAGCGUUGUCCGGAAUUACUGGGCGUAAAGAGCUCGUAGGUGGUUUGUCGCGUUGUCCGUGAAAACUCACAACUCAAUUGUGGGCGUGCGGGCGAUACGGGCAGACUGGAGUAUUGCAGGGGAGACUGGAAUUCCUGGUGUAGCGGUGGAAUGCGCAGAUAUCAGGAGGAACACCGGUGGCGAAGGCGGGUCUCUGGGCAGUAACUGACGCUGAGACGCGAAGGCGUGGGGAGCGAACGGG